UACGGAGGGUGCAAGCGUUGUUCGGAUUUAUUGGGCGUAAAGCGCGUGUAGGCGGUUUUUUAAGUCUGAUGUGAAAGCCCCGGGCUCAACCCGGGAAGUGCAUUGGAAACUGGGAGACUUGAAUACGGGAGAGGGUAGUGGAAUUCCUAGUGUAGGAGUGAAAUCCGUAGAUAUUAGGAGGAACACCGGUGGCGAAGGCGGCUACCUGGACCGAUAUUGACGCUGAGACGCGAAAGCGUGGGGAGCAAAC
rnacentral:rRNA from 1 species